rnacentral:tRNA from 1 species
GGGGGUGUGGCUCAGUUGGUAGAGUGCUUGCCUAACAUGCAUGGAGCUGGGAGUUUGAUUCCCCAGCUCUG